rnacentral:rRNA from 1 species
GACGAACGCUGGCGGCGUGCCUAAUACAUGCAAGUAGAACGCACAGUUUAUACCGUAGCUUGCUACACCAUAAACUGUGAGUUGCGAACGGGUGAGUAACGCGUAGGUAACCUGCCUGGUAGCGGGGGAUAACUAUUGGAAACGAUAGCUAAUACCGCAUAAUAUUGAUUAUUGCAUGAUAAUUGAUUGAAAGAUGCUAUUGCAUCACUACCAGAUGGACCUGCGUUGUAUUAGCUAGUAGGUGAGGUAACGGCUCACCUAGGCGACGAUACAUAGCCGACCUGAGAGGGUGAUCGGCCACACUGGGAAUGAGACCCGGCCCAGAAUCCUACGGGAGGCAGCAGUAGGGAAUCUUCGGCAAUGGACGAAAGUCUGACCGAGCAACGCCGCGUGAGUGAAGAAGGUUUUCGGAUCGUAAAGCUCUGUUGUAAGAGAAGAACGGGUGUGAGAGUGGAAAGUUCACACUGUGACGGUAUCUUACCAGAAAGGGACGGCUAACUACGUG